rnacentral:lncRNA from 1 species
AGAUAGACCAUUGAAAUCUUUUCAUGAUAAAUGACUGCAUGUUCUUUUUUUUUUACAUCUCUAAAAUAAACUUGUUUGAUAAAUCCAUCCCCUUCUACUUACUUAUAUGAACAAUUUCUCCAUGCCUGUCUCUGAAAAAAAAGAAAGAAAGAAAGAAAGAAAGAAAGAAAGAAAGAAAGAAAGAAAGAAAGAAAGAAAAAGAAAAAGAAAAAGAAAUUAGAAGGGUUGCUGCACCCUGCCUCAUUCAGCACAAUAGAGAAAUGAAACACUUGAGAAAAACCCACUUGACUUAUUACUUACUAUAACUCCAAUAAAAAUGUGCUUAAGUAUUAAUAUCUUCUGCUGUUUUAACUAAUUCUAGCUUAAUAGUAACUAAACCCAGAAAAAUAUAAGCACUUGUAGACUUGAACUUACAUAGUGUAUUAGCUGGCAGUGACAAACACCAUGACCAAAAACAACUUGUGGGGGGUGGGGAGGAAGGGUUUAUUUAGCUUAUACUUCCAGGUCACAAUACAACAUUGAGGGAGUUUAGGCAGGAACUUAAGGCAGGAACCAGCAGACAGGAACUAUGAAGGAAGACUACUUAUCAGUUCCCUCACUGGCUCAGGUUCUACUAGCUUUGCUAUAUAGGUCAAGGUCACCUGUCUAAGGAUGACACUGCCUUCAGUGGGUUGAGCCCUCCUACUUCAAUUAGCAACCAAGAAAAUGCCCCCACAGACAUGCCCACAGGCCAUCCUAUUGGAGGCAGUUCUUCAACUCAGGUCCCUCUUCCCAGACAACUCUAGGGUGAGUUAAGUUGACAAUAAAAACUACCCAGGACAGGUGUGAAUUUUUUUCUUUUGAUAUGGAGAGGGGGCAGAAUAUGACACCUUGACUAAUAAAACACUUUCAAGCAUUAAAAUAUUAUUUACUUCGGGAUAAAAUUCUGUUGUUGAAAAUGAAAUGGUGAAAGAUUUACUAAAAAAAAAAAAAAAAAAAAAAAAAAAAAAAAAGAGCUUGUUUGUGGCUGGGUUUGCAGCCCAGUGGUAAAGCACUUGCCAAGCCCAGACUUCAGGCUCUGUCCCUGGAAAAGGGAGAAGAGCCUGUUAUGUGAGCUGCACUAGCUGGUGGUGGGCUGUGCACCACCCUUCACUAGCAAACCCCAGUAGGGUUCCUCAGGAAGCACUCACUAAAGUAAGGACUUUGCUUUUUAAUGGCAUCAGACACUGUCGUUCACUGUGCUAACUCAGCAUGAAACUUUUCAGAUACGUAAAACUAGAGACAAGGAGAAAAAAGUUUCCAAACAUUUUGGAAUAUGCAGGC